rnacentral:lncRNA from 1 species
UGUAGGUCUGCCCACGCAGGAUACCAUGAUCAUCUCAACUGAGCUUGCUUUGUUUCCCAUAUAAAUACAGUAACCAUGAAAAGACAUAAUUGAUAUAGGGAUAGGAACCGGAUAUGUGGCUUAUGCCUAUAAGCCAGUCCUAGGGAUGUAUGAGGGGCUGCAGGUCAGUGAAAGAGUCUGUCUCAAAAGAAGGUGGACAGAGCCAGAGCAGUGACCUGAACAACAUGCAAACAUACACACACACACACACACACACACACACACACACACACACACUGCCCACUGGAUACAAAGCUUAGAAUGUACACCAAGCUUGACAUUCCUCUGGCUGUAGCAAACCUCAGUCUAAGAAUGUGACAGUGUGUGACUCUAGGCAGAGAUUUUCUGAACUCGUGAAAGACCAGCAUCUGAACUGGAAGAAUGCCCAUGUCUCCACAGUCAGCCUGCCUCAUGACCCCACUGGCUGCUGCAUAUCUGGCCAAGCUGAUGUAAGGCAGCCUCGUUAACUAGAGAAGAUUCCGGAGACCCUGAACCCACAUCCCCAGUCACCACCUUGCUUCCCUAUCACAGCCUCCUAGCAUGGAAUCCAGACAUGGAAGCAGACAGAAGUCAUAGGAGAAAAAUGUUAGCAACUCCUUAUUGACUUCCUGAAAUCGACUCCCAUCUUGCUGCUCCCUGGAAGGGGGGCUGUCUGGAAGCAGAGCCUGAAAGCUGGAUACUCUGUGCUUUUCUUCAUUUUCCUCACCAUUCUGAGGGAAGAAGAUGAAGCCUAGGUCAUUUGUGCCAAGAGACGAUGUCAACAGCUUCAUGAAGGGGAUUUGUUCACCCUAUAAGUGCUCCACUUAGAGGCAUGGGCCCUGGAGAAUAAUCCUCUGGCAUCAAGAAACCCUGAAAAUGCAGCCACGGGGUUCAGCCUCUGGGGACACAGGAACUCAUGGCAGGAUGGAGACUGAGAUCCAAGGUCUAAUGAGGGAUAUCAGGACAGAGGAGGAUCCUGAGAAGAGUGUGUGCUAUUUGUUUCCAUGGAGAUGGAGUCGACAGGAUGAACCGCCACAGCAGCUGAUGUUGAUUCUGCUGGUAGGGGACCGCGAGAAUCUCUUCCUGCUUCCUGUAUUUACUUCAUUUUCCUUCAUUCACUGUUCCUGUUCAGAUUCUUUUUUUAGUGGAAAAAAAAUAAGUAUACUGAGUCACAUUUCUCAAGUCAUUCUGGUCUCUUUUUAAACUCCCCAUGCAAUCUGGAUCUUAGAGGCAGAGUCAUAUGACAUUGGCUGUUUUUGCUUCCUGACCCACAAGUCAUCAAGAACCCUUAAUGGCAUUAAUUCCUAUGCCUCAAUAUACGUCAGCUGACAUGUCAUAUUUAUACAUAGAGCAUCCAUAACUUUUUUUAACCUCCCAUGGCCAAAUCUGGCAAUUAGUUGUGACCCACCUUCGGUGAUCAAGAUAUCCAGAAGUAGCUUUUAAAAAAAUUAUUCGUGUGUGUGUGUGUGUGU